rnacentral:lncRNA from 1 species
AUGCCUUGUCCUGAGAUUCGCUCCGUCUGGUUUGACCUGGACUGUGUCUACUUCUGUGGCCACGGGGGUGGAUGGGGGCAGCUCUGGCUCACAGGCCCACUCACAGAGCUGGACGGAACCCGUGCUAGACUACGCGCAUGUGCAAAGAGUGGGCAAAAGAUUUCCUCAUUCUCAGCUAGCAUCACUGCCAGUCUUGCCAGCAUAUCUAGAGGCCUAAUCCAGACUCUCAUGGAGGCUAAGCCCGUGACCUUCUCUGCCAGAAUGGUGAUCCCUCUUCUUGCCUGUUGGACCCUUGACAUAAGAAGCUCAAAGUUCCUGCAUGGAAGCCAAGACUUAAUGUUCCAGAAACUCUUGCUGUGCCUUCUGGUAGAGCUGUGUGUCAAACACUAUACAGGACUCCACUUGGCGUUCUUGGCUAAGGCUGUGGGUAGGAAGGGCAAAUCCAUAACUGGAUUAUCUGUUCAUUCCAGUGAAAGUAGACUGUUACCCAGGGCAGAUGCGCAAAGGGCUGCUUUUUAUUGCUCCAUGUAAGACAGACUUUGGCUUCAAGCUGCCCUCAGAAAAGGAGUAUAACCCUGGGUGAGAUGGCUUCUAGACAUGAACUGGUAAAUGUUUAACGAUUAACAACCUGAAAAGAAGUUCUGAUUUUUAGUGUUUUCUGAUUUUCAUGAUGUCGAUAAGGGGUUGGAAAACUACAACAUGCUGGCCCACCAGCUGGUUUUAUAAAUAACAUUCUAUUGGAAGACAGACACAUCCAUUUGUUUAAAAAAAAAAUAUUGGUAUGGUUGUUUUUUUGUAACAAUGGCCCACCAGGCUCCUCUGUCCAUGGGACUUCCAGGCCAGAAUACUGGAGUGGUUUUCCAUUUCCUUCUCCAGGGGAUCUUCCCAACCCAGGAAUCAAAACUGGGUCUCCUGCAUUGCAAGCAGAUCCUUCACUGUCUGAACUACCAGCAAAGCCCAUUGUGCUAAUUGUCAACAUCAUUUAAAAUGGGACUUCCUGAUCAGGUCUGUUAUAAAGACAGUUCAUGGUCUACUGAAAAUGGUGGUAUUUAAGAGGUCAAUAAAUCACAUCUACCUCCGACCAAACUCACAGUCAAUUAAUAAAGUGACACGAGAUUCAGAGAUACGAAGAUCAGAGUGUGGUAGAAAGUACUGAAGAAUUCGGCACAAACCUGCAGCAGAUGAGCUGCCCAACUAACCAUCACUGAGCACCUGGUAGGUGGCAGGUCUUGUUAUGCAUCCUGGGAAUACAACGGGGAAAGAAGUAUAAAAUCCCUUCCCUCAUAGAGUUCACAUUCUAGUAAAUCUGGACUCUCAACACGUCCUUAGUCUGUACUUUAGAAUCCAUCCAUUGUAGGAUGGACUCCCAAGACCACCUCAUACCUGUCAAGCUCCAAGACUAGAGAAAGAAUGAGCUUCUAGAUCUGACCUUAGAAGACAGGCCUAGUUCCUCAUCCAUGGACAAAAAUCACAUGGAAGAAUGAUUAAAAAAUAAUGUGUCCAUUCAGGGUCUAGAUGGCCUGGAGGAGAGAAGGAUGGUGCCUAAGUCAUGUUUGUGAAUACCCUUACCUUAUUUUUGAUCCAUUUAGGUGUUGAUAUAAUUGAAAUCAUGGAAGAAGAUUCUAAAAGCAUUACUCUAAUACUGCUUUCUCCAGUGAAGAGAAAUCCCCCAUGGUCACAAGAAGAGAGGGACUAGUUUUUGUGUUUUCAUCCAAGUGGUAGAAACAAUAUUUUGUAUGUAAAUCAGUUGAAUUGCCUAGAAGUGGCUAGAAACACAGUAGGUGCUCAAGAUAGUCUUAUGGACAGCUCAAUUUCAAUAUUCCCACUUAUUCUUUGGUAAAUUGCAAGAUUGAGGAAUUGUCAUUAAAGGAUAGGCAAGCAUCCUUCUGUCUGGUAUGAGUUUCAAUCUUAUGUUUUGAUAAUCACAGUGUCAAUAAUAUUGAUAAAUAUUUUGAGGCAAAUGCUUUGUACUUGGCUGAGUAAUGUGUGCCUUUAACAAGGCACACCCACUGUGUGCCUUGUUAAAAUUACAUGGUUUCUUUCUGGAUGGAAAAUACUCUGUUUAUAAAAUGUCUUAUUAUCAUGCUUCAUGAUGAAUGAGCUCUGUUUAUUUGUUUCUUUCCUGGCUGUCUUUAGGAGAUGAUCUAAGGUUAAUGGUGGAAAUGCUACCAAAAUAAAUGGUUUCAUGUAGUCAAAUAUUUCAUCUGAGCACUUUGUUUCAGGAAACUUGGGAAGAAAACAAAUGAAUAUUUUUGGAGGGUUUGAAUUCAUUCUUUAACUUUAGUGCUGCUAAGGUUUCCAAGAUACAUUGAAAAAUAUACUUUUCAACUAACCCACAAAAGUCUACAAUGCUUCCACCAACAUGUCAAUUAGAAUAUUACACAUAGUAUCUUCUGGAAAAUCCUCAAAAGGAUGUAGAAAAUGAUUUCAGAUGCCUGCAUAGAAUUGGCUAUUUUCCACAUGAAAUGGUUCUAUAGAAUCAUAAUCUUUCAUGAGAGUGAUAUUCACCAGACCUGGUUUAAAACAUUUCCUUAAAUUGACAUCUUGUUUUGAAAAUAAGCAGAUGUAAUAUUUGCAACUAAUCCUUCCAAGUUUGGACACUUUUGGAAAAAAAAAAAGUACAGUCAUGUGGGUAAAAUAUAGGACUUUUCUUUAAUGUCAGAGAUUCUGACUUAGGUCAGACUUAGUUGAGAAUUGCUCUAGGCUUACAUGAGAAUCUCUUGCCUUUGGUCAAAGUUCUACAAUAAAUCGCUGCUCCUAAGUGAUGUUGCCAGGAUGAAGUCAUUACCAUUUCCCCCCCUGAGGUUUUGGAAUUCUUCUAAGAAUCUCCUUUAUGUCCAGCUAAGUACAAAGGAUUAUUUAUCAGAUAUCUCCUUCCUGCACGGAUUAUACGUACCCAGAAAUAUUUGCAAUUGCCAAAGUCAUUCUUAGUCCUGCAGUCGAUAUUACUUUGGAGAUAAACAGAGAUUUAAACAUCAACAAUAAACUUAAAAUGACAGCUCAAUAAGAGAAGGAGUCUAUGUUGUCAGAUUUUUUUUUUUUUUCAGAUCAGGACUUUUAGUUAGAAAAAAUUAAUAUAUACAUGGCAAGACAGAGUGAAUUUUUCUUCCAAAGCCUUCUGGUAAACCCCAGCAUAAGAAGUUAUGCAUCUUAGUCUUGUAAACUGAACUUUAUUGCCUUUUUCUAAACUUUGAGUUAAAAUGGCUUUAAGAGAGGGGUCCAAAAUUGAGUUAAAGAGGAAAAAAAGACCCAUUAUCAAUCGAGAUUCCACUGGAAACAUUUUUUAUGAAAGGUGCUUAUUGGCUCCUUGAUAGGUUAUAUUCCAUUUUGGUCUCUUAAUUUACUAUUGUCUAAUAUAAAAUACAUGUAAUUGCUUUUCAAAAUUAUAAGAGUAUCUUUUGUUCUUUUUUUAAAUUAAUUAAUUAAUUUUCAUUGGAGAAGUUUUGUUCUUUUGAGGUUGGCAAUAUAGGUAAUAGAAAAGAAAAGAAAAAAC